GACGAACGCUGGCGGCGUGCUUAACACAUGCAAGUCGAACGGCGAACCAGGGCUUGCCCUGGGGAUCAGUGGCGAACGGUGAGUAACACGUGGGCAACCUGCCCCUGACUCUGGGAUAACUCCUCGAAAGAGGUGCUAAUACCGGAUACGACCACUUCGGGCAUCCGAUGGUGGUGGAAAGAAUUUUGGUCAGGGAUGGGCCCGCGGCCUAUCAGCUUGUUGGUGGGGUAACGGCCCACCAAGGCGACGACGGGUAGCCGGCCUGAGAGGGCGACCGGCCACACUGGGACUGAGACACGGCCCAGACUCCUACGGGAGGCAGCAGUGGGAAAUAUUGCGCAAUGGGCGAAAGCCUGACGCAGCGACGCCGCGUGAGGGACGACGGCCUUCGGGUUGUAAACCUCUUUCAGCAGGGACGAAGCGAAAGUGACGGUACCUGCAGAAGAAGCACCGGCUAACUACGUGCCAGCAGCCGCGGUAAU
rnacentral:rRNA from 1 species